AAAUUGAAGAGUUUGAUCAUGGCUCAGAUUGAACGCUGGCGGCAGGCCUAACACAUGCAAGUCGAGCGGUAGCACAGAGAGCUUGCUCUCGGGUGACGAGCGGCGGACGGGUGAGUAAUGUCUGGGAAACUGCCUGAUGGAGGGGGAUAACUACUGGAAACGGUAGCUAAUACCGCAUAAUGUCGCAAGACCAAAGUGGGGGACCUUCGGGCCUCAUGCCAUCAGAUGUGCCCAGAUGGGAUUAGCUAGUAGGUGGGGUAACGGCUCACCUAGGCGACGAUCCCUAGCUGGUCUGAGAGGAUGACCAGCCACACUGGAACUGAGACACGGUCCAGACUCCUACGGGAGGCAGCAGUGGGGAAUAUUGCACAAUGGGCGCAAGCCUGAUGCAGCCAUGCCGCGUGUGUGAAGAAGGCCUUCGGGUUGUAAAGCACUUUCAGCGGGGAGGAAGGCGUUAAGGUUAAUAACCUUGUCGAUUGACGUUACCCGCAGAAGAAGCACCGGCUAACUCCGUGCCAGCAGCCGCGGUAAUACGGAGGGUGCAAGCGUUAAUCGGAAUUACUGGGCGUAAAGCGCACGCAGGCGGUCUGUCAAGUCGGAUGUGAAAUCCCCGGGCUCAACCUGGGAACUGCAUUCGAAACUGGCAGGCUAGAGUCUUGUAGAGGGGGGUAGAAUUCCAGGUGUAGCGGUGAAAUGCGUAGAGAUCUGGAGGAAUACCGGUGGCGAAGGCGGCCCCCUGGACAAAGACUGACGCUCAGGUGCGAAAGCGUGGGGAGCAAACAGGAUUAGAUACCCUGGUAGUCCACGCCGUAAACGAUGUCGAUUUGGAGGUUGUGCCCUUGAGGCGUGGCUUCCGGAGCUAACGCGUUAAAUCGACCGCCUGGGGAGUACGGCCGCAAGGUUAAAACUCAAAUGAAUUGACGGGGGCCCGCACAAGCGGUGGAGCAUGUGGUUUAAUUCGAUGCAACGCGAAGAACCUUACCUGGUCUUGACAUCCACAGAACUUUCCAGAGAUGGAUUGGUGCCUUCGGGAACUGUGAGACAGGUGCUGCAUGGCUGUCGUCAGCUCGUGUUGUGAAAUGUUGGGUUAAGUCCCGCAACGAGCGCAACCCUUAUCCUUUGUUGCCAGCGGU
rnacentral:rRNA from 1 species